GCUGUAACUCUUCUAGUGUUACUGCCGGUCUCAAGCCCGGGUAAAUGAGGAGGGUGGG
rnacentral:ribozyme from 2 species